rnacentral:lncRNA from 1 species
UAAAAUAAACGAGGGAGUCCUCAUUUUGAAUUUGAACUCUCUUUUUCAAAUAAGUGUGCUGCAUCUUUUUUAAAACUAAGGUAUGUAUGUAAAUUUUGUCAAUCUUGGUGUGCUAGCAUUUUCCUAUAAAUAGGUUGAUUAGUUAAACAAUGAAACUCACACCAGAAUCAUAAAAUUCUAUCUCUAUAAUAUUGAGCGUAUUUCUCAUGAGUAUAAGGAUAUUUUGAGUGUUGAUAACAGUGCAAGAUUUCCUCAACAUAAUCGCCAAUCUUCCAGUCAAAACUACUUUCCUAUUAAGGGAAAAGAUUUUAUUUUUUUUCUUAUUUUCUUUCAAUACUCAUAAAUGAUAUUAUUUCCUUCCAUACUCGUAAGGAAUAUCAUUU